rnacentral:tRNA from 1 species
GGCUCCAUAGUAUAGUGGUUAGCACAUCUGCUUUACACACAGAAGGUCCUGGGUUCGCACCCCAGGUGGAGCCA